AUGCGAGCAAUACACUUGCAACCCGAGGAGGAGAUACACCAAACAUACAUUGAUACACAGAAAUCAAAAGAGUGCACUCGGGAGAACAACAACACCAAGACAAGGCUGGCAAAUCGACAAGCUAAUAGACGCUCUUCCUGCUCCCUUGGUGUGGCAGGAGCAGGACAUGAAGCUCUUUCUUACUACUCAUCUUCAUCCUCUUCCUCGUCAUCUUCAUCCUCGUCGUCGUCUUCAUCCUCCUCCUCGUCGUCUUCAUCGUCCUCCUUGUCACCUUCACCCCCCUCCUCCUCCUCCUCUUCCUCAUCCUCCUUGUCAUCUUCAUCCUCCUCCUCGUCGUCUUCAUCGUCCUCCUUGUCACCUUCACCCCCUUCCUCCUCCUCCUCUUCUUCAUCCUCCUCGUCAUCUUCAUCCUCCUCCACGUCGUCUUCAUUCUCCUCCUCGUCGCCGUACAACUCAUUCUCAACACUGGGGAUCCACUUUUCUUUUGCUUCCAUCCUAGUGUCCUCAAACAUAGCACGGUGGUGCUCAAAUCUUCUAAUGUUUCCAUCAACAUCCUUGUCGAGCUCGUGGAACGCGUUGAUGUCCAUCGUUUGGACAGAACUCAAGAGGCUCUGCAUAUUGGUGGUGUGGUGGUAA
rnacentral:rRNA from 1 species